GAAAAAAAAAAACUUUCAAACCCUGGCGCUCAACAGAAAAGCAAGAGAGAAACUGCAUAGCAUCUUUGGAAGGCUCGGGUCUCGAACCAGCAUUGCAAUCUUCGGAGGCAAAGGUGUCAUCCCCUCGACCAUUGCCUGUGGUUACAAGUGGAGAGAUUUGCUUCUAUUAUCACAAAUCAUGAAGGUAUCUUCAGGAAAAGUUCAGAGUAUUCUUCAAAUACAAACAUUCAACCCAGUUGUGUAAGAGCUCGAUCGGCCGAAUGAUUAAAGUUUUUACCUUUGGUUCAGGAGAGGCGGGUUCGAAUCUUACAUGUUGCUCUAUUUAUUUGAAAAUGAUGCACAGAGCGGGUCUCGAACCCGAGGCUGCUGGACACCGACCCACGUC